rnacentral:rRNA from 1 species
AGAGUUUGAUCCUGGCUCAGAACAAACGGGCGGCGUGCUAACACAUGCAAGUCGUACGAGAAAGGUCUUCGGGGCUGAGUAAAGUGGCGCACGGGUGAGUAACGCGUGGAUAAUCUGCCCUUCAGUUGGGAAUAACUCAUCGAAAGGUGGGCUAAUACCGAAUAAUACUUUGAGACCUUGGUCGAUCAGUCAAAGAGAGCCUCUGCUUGCAUGCCCUCGCUGAAGGAUGAGUCCGCGUACCAUAGCUAGUUGGUAGGGUAAUGGCCUACCAAGGCGACGAUGGUUAGCUGGUCUGAGAGGAUGAUCAGCCACACUGGAACUGAGACACGGUCCAGACUCCUACGGGAGGCAGCAGUGAGGAAUCUUGCGCAAUGGGGGCAACCCUGACGCAGCAACGCCGCGUGAGUGAGGAAGGUCUUCGGAUCGUAAAGCUCUGUCAGAUGGAAAGAACCGCAUGGGGGUGAAUAUCCCCUAUGUCUGACGGUACCAUCAAAGGAAGCACCGGCUAACUCCGUGCCAGCAGCCGCGGUAAUACGGGGGGUGCAAGCGUUGUUCGGAAUUAUUGGGCGUAAAGAGCGUGUAGGCGGCCUGAUGUGUCAGAUGUGAAAGCCCUGGGCUUAACCCAGGAAGUGCAUUUGAAACUGUCAGGCUUGAGUAGGGGAGAGGGAAGUGGAAUUCCUGGUGUAGAGGUGAAAUUCGUAGAUAUCAGGAGGAACACCGGUGGCGAAGGCGACUUCCUGGCCCUAUACUGACGCUGAGACGCGAGAGCGUGGGUAGCAAACAGGAUUAGAUACCCUGGUAGUC